UUGUUGUUUUGCUUUUUGGGUCCGCACUGCCUUUACGAGCUGUUAAUACUGACCACGAAGGUUUGAAGUUUCAUUCUUGAAGUUAGAGAGACCACGAACCCACCAGGAGGAACGAACAACUUCAGACGCGCCACCUUCAGAGCUGUAACACUCAUCGCGAAGACCUGCAGCUUCACUCCUGAGCCGGUGAGACCAUGAACCCACCAGAAGGAAGAAACUCCGAACACAUUGGAACAUCGGAAGGAACAAACUACAGACGCGCGCGUUUAAGAACUGUAACACUCACGGCAAGGGUCUGCAGCUUCAUUCUUGAGGUCAGUGAGAUCAGGAACCCCCAUUCCGGACCCAAGCCCACCUGGUAAGGUGGGGAAGGAGGCUCACUAAUAGGUAGUGAUCUUGGAGGGUGGGGAGGGGACAGAACUCUGAUGCCUGCCUGUAGUUAACAAUCUCAGCACCAUCUCUCCCUUUUGCUCUCCGGAUACUACCAUUCCCUUAGGGACAGUACUAAGAGGAGGCUUAAUACCUCUGCGACCCAGGGGGGAGGGCAGCGGGUUAAAGGCAGAAAAUCACCCAAUGAGAGCAGAUGAGGACCACGGGUAAUGAGCUUUUCUGGCCUGCUUGCGGUGAGGAUGGUUAGGGGUAAAUCUGUGAUCCCAAAGGCUCCAGGGGGAGCGUCAGCAGGUCGCUGGGAUAUGGGCUGGGAGCAGGAGGCCGGAGCCCCACUGGGCAAGGAGAUAUAGGUCUGGGACAUGUUCCCAGGCAUGCUGAGUCUGACACCACUUCACUGAGUGGCACAUGCUGCAGUGUCCUGCUACAUGAGAAAGCUGCCAGCCCCUGUAAAGACUCAAGACAGCCUUAACACCAAUGCCUGAUGUAAAGAAAAAGUUUUUCAAGAGGGCGCCCCAGACAUGGAGUUCAGUCUUGCCAGGCAACAUGCGGGCCUCCCAGAGGGUUCCAGUCUUUAAGGAAAACUCUUUCCUCUGGCUUUCUAAAACAAAUGUGAUCCCUUGUGUUUGGGCUGGAGGCUGGGGAUAGUGUCAGGAAGCUGCAGAUGGUCCUCCUGCCCGGGGUGGGUGGGGACGUUCUGAGAACUAUAGCCCAGAGAACACCCUUUUUCAGGUCAAGCUAACCCUGCUCGCCCUUUAGUUUCUCUUCUCUCAUCCACAGGUUGCAGACUGGUGGCCUGCGCCCCUGUUUUGCUUCCUACAUUUUUUUUUAAAGAGUUUUACGUAAAAUUCUAGAUUUCAGAUUUUUUGAAAAAAUCAGUAGCUGUGACAACACUGGGCUGGCAUUCCCACGCAGAACCAGUCAGCAGGAACUGAGCAGCAGGGCCCUUCUGGGUGGGACAGGCACUCGCCAGGGUCCCCACACUGGCCCACGGACUCUCAUUUAUUCACACUGGCACUUGCAGGCAUAUGAGGCUGACUCCUGCGAAUUCAGCCUACGCCAAACUCAUCUUUCACCAUGUCUCUUCGUUUCUGCCCUGCUGUGUCUUAAGAGUAUCUCUGACCCACCCUCAUCACUGCACUAAGGUUUAUCUUCCCCCAUACAGCUGUCUCUUCCGGUUGAUUGCAAGCCCGAGGGCAGGAACAAUGCUUCCAUAACAUUCUCAGUGAAUGUACAUUGAAUAAACACACCUCUUGCCUUUG
rnacentral:lncRNA from 1 species